rnacentral:lncRNA from 1 species
UGUCAUUACAGAUUUGAUGGUAGCUCUAACUAGAGGUUGAAUAUGAUGCUACAACUUUGUUUUAAAUAUCUUAUUUUCUAUUUUUUUAUAGAGUUUGUCAUGAUUUGAAAAUCACAGUCAUUGCUUUCCUACGUAUAGUACAUUGUGGAAAACACAUCUUAAAGGAGACUCCCAUGAGAUGAAUUUCCUGACUUUAUUUUUUAUUAACUAGAUUUUUUUAAAAAGUGCCAAAGUGAAAUAGCACAUGAAUAUUUAGUGCAAAACUAAUACCCUACCCAGACUCCACUCCCACACCCCUAGAGUAUCCAGUGUUAAUUGUGUUCUGUGUGGAUUCCCCUAUGCAUUUAAUCCUUGACACUUUCAAUACAAUUAUUUCCACCAUACAUAUAUCAGUCAAAACAAAACAGACAAGCAGCAAGAAGUGAUAAGCAGUAGGAGGAGUGUCUUGCCUUUUUUCUGGACAUAACAGUGAGCAGUCUCAAUACCCAUAGGCAGGCUGUUUGAAGGAACUCUCAGGGUCCUUCUCAGGAGGAGCGCUCUGUGGUUAGGCCAGGCCCCAAGUAAGUAAGAGAACUCUUUCAGGUGCUCCUUGUCAUCUGAGGCUUUGGGCCCAUCUUGGGAUGGAGAUGAAACAGAAUCCACCGGUGAAAUAAUUAGACUGGGAGACACGGCACAUACCUUUUCUCUAAGAAGUAAUGGUGCAGAAGGCCCUAAUGAAAUGCAGUCCAAAAAAGCCUCAACCGUAUCACAUGAAGAAGCGCUACACCCUCCCUUAUCUAGUUUUUUGUCCAAGAACAGGACAUCCUUUGUUGAAAACAGUGAGUAGUAAUAUGUUGUUAGUGAGUUAGAGACAGCAGGUAGUUCCUGGGACAAUUUCUGUUGCUAUUGGCCUUUUUACUUUUGUUGCUCUGUACUUUAUAUGAUUCUUUUUGGUUUUACAUGAUCAUAUUUGUAAAUGUUUGCUAUUAAUUAUGAGCUCUGAUUUCCUAAAAUGGUUUUUGGUCACAUGUUUUACAUCCACAUCUAUUAUCUAACUUUUUCUCUUAAAGAAUUUAGGAAAAUACGAGUCUCUAAUACAUUAGUAUAUCAGUUGGUGGUCUUCAGAUUAUUAGGGAAUGAUAAAAUACAGUAAUUUGAAAAAUAUUCUCAUUUCUUACUGUUCUCUCUGGGAUUUUACCUAGUAUUACAUAAAAUCAUUGUUAAUGGCUAAUGAGUUUUAGAACCUGUGGAUGAACCAUAAUUAUGUACCUAUUCUUCAAGUCAUUUAGGU